GAGGGUAUAGGUCAGUGGUAGAGCGCAUGCUUAGCACGCACGAGGUCCUGGGUUCCAUCCCCAGUACCUCCA
rnacentral:tRNA from 1 species